rnacentral:tRNA from 1 species
AGCGGAGUAGACCAAUAGUAGGUCGAAAGCCUCAUAAGCUUUAGAUGUUGGUGCAAUUCCAACCUCCGCAA